CCCGUUCGGGCUGCAGCUGCGGGCGGCAGCGCGCUGGCGCCAGGCGAACCCGCGGGGACGAGGAACGUGGGCAGAGACCCGGCCGAGCCCGCGGCCGAGCCCUAGGCACGGCGGCUGGAAAACUGGAAAAAUAGGGCCCCUAAUUCUUCGGCCACCGAGGGCCGCAAAGGCCCAGCGCCGCCGCCUCGCCCUGCUCCGGCCCCUGCCCCUCGGCGGCCGCGGGCUCCGGGUGAGUGCGGCCCCGUGCACAGCCCGCAGAGCCCGAGCCCGCACCUCCCCGGGAGCCGCGAGUCGUGAGCGGGACGAAGCCGGCGGCGGACGGAACACCGGAACGGCGCUAAUCGUUACCGGGGCCGCGGCAGCGCGGGGCUUCUCUCCGCGCACCGGCGACACGGGACAGCGCCGAGCGCUGAGUCGGGCCCCCUGAAACCCGGUUAUGGCGACAGCGUUUCCCGGUGCGCGGUCGGAACCGGGCGGUCCGAGGACAGGAGAAGGGAGGGCGGCCCCGGGAGCGGGCAGGGAGCGAUCCGCCGCAAUCGCUGCGCGGGUUUCAAGGCGGCGCGGUGGGGAACGAUGCGGUGCUCCCGGGCCGCCUCCGUGUCCGCCGGGCGAAGGGGACCGGCAGAAACCGAACUGCGGCCAUCUGCGCGGGACGUGGGCCCUCUUCCCGGGGCUGCGCCGCCGGUAAAUGCGUUUCGCCGUUGAGGUCGGAGCGGUGGGACGCAGGGAAACGAAGGUACCGCCACGGCCGGUAAAUGGCGGAGCCGCCGCCCGGUACCGACCCGAGAGAGGUACCGACACUCACCUGCCCGCCGUGCGCCCGGCUCCCCGCCGCCUCGCCUCGGCGCCGAUCCGAGUCCUGCGGGGCGGCAGCAUUUUAAUCACAACGAAAUUUCCCACCCGGCCCCCCCCGCCCGCCACUUGGCGCGCCCGAUCCGCGCUCCGUGGAGGCGUUGAGCCCUUCGAGCGCCCCGGGGGCCGCGGGGCCCCGUCAUGGGGUCCCGGUACCGCCCGCCGCAG
rnacentral:lncRNA from 1 species